CCAACGGCCCUCUUUAGGGCCACAACUACGGGGAUGUAGGUGCAUU
rfam:Angiostrongylus cantonensis strain Taiwan genome assembly, scaffold: ACAC_scaffold0000595